GCCAGAGGGCGUGAGCGGGGCCACUGGCAGAGGGGGCCGGAGGGCGAGGGCAGGCCUGUGCUGACACUGUGUCGUGGCUUGCAGGCAGUACGUGCGGAACACUGUCAUCGGGACGAUGGGUCUGAAGCCCACAGGCCGCCACUGUGAGGUGUCUCGCUCCAGGGGGCUGCGCACCUGCAGGGGGAAGCUGAUUGGCACCAUCCUGGACUGGGAGGACGCCCUGCCGGACAAGGACCUCAACCGUGCCGACGAGGCCUGCAGGGAAACGCUGAUAGGACCCUCGGAUUAAUCAGUUACCAUCUAACAAACGAGAGAGAUGCACUGAAUGUCUCCC